CGCAUGAGACCACAACGGGACAUCCCGCAGGGGUCAAAGGAGCAAUCCGGUGAAGGGUGGGCUCGCGUCCGAUUAGAUAGUUGGUGAGGUAACGGCCCACCAAGUCGACGAUCGGUAGCCGACCUGAGAGGGUGAUCGGCCACAUUGGGACUGAGACACGGCCCAAACUCCUACGGGAGGCAGCAGUGGGGAAUAUUGGGCAAUGGGGGGAACCCUGACCCAGCAACGCCGCGUGAGGGAAGAAGGUUUUCGGAUCGUAAACCUCUGUCCUUGGUGAAGAGUGAGAGACGGUAGCCAAGGAGGAAGCCCCGGCUAACUACGUGCCAGCAGCCGCGGUAAUACGUAGGGGGCGAGCGUUGUCCGGAAUGAUUGGGCGUAAAGGGCGCGUAGGCGGCCCGGUAAGUCUGGAGUGAAAGUCCUGCUUUUAAGGUGGGAAUUGCUUUGGAUACUGUCGGGCUUGAGUGCAGGAGAGGUAAGUGGAAUUCCCAGUGUAGCGGUGAAAUGCGUAGAGAUUGGGAGGAACACCAGUGGCGAAGGCGACUUACUGGACUGUAACUGACGCUGAGGCGCGAAAGUGUGG
rnacentral:rRNA from 1 species